CUUGAUAGGUACAAUCAUGAACGCUAGAGGGCGCUGCGCGCGAACGGCGCUUUUUUUUAAUGGACCGUAUUGCCGCCGAUAAGCUGCUAUCGUCGAGACUGCCGAGUGUAUUGACAAAUGUAAGGGGUGGAUGAAUCUACCCUUAUUUUUAAAGUGAUUUGUCCAAUAGGUAUGAUGUGUAUGAAAAUUUCAUCAUGGAUACUUACGUCAUCGUCUACGAACAAUGGGAGAGCCUCAGCGAAGAGUUUUGACUGUCAAAUUCGUCUGGAAUAUCACUGAUAAAGCUUGAGCACCGAUCCUACCAAUGGCAUCAUACCAAACUAUUAGAACAGCUGAUGAUGUUUCGUGUACAGUUUCCCUGCUACUUGGUAGUACUUGCUUUUACCAUCCUUGUCAAUAUCCAUCCUGGUGCUGGCCUAUGACCUGGUCUACAUUACACUCUACACAGUGCAAGCUCAAGUGCAGUCUAAUUGCUGCAAAGUUGUUUUAAAAUUCCAAGAAAGAAAUAAAGUUGAUUUACUCUCAAGAUAAUUGGUGAUGGAGAUGAAAGAGGAAGAUAAUGAGAUCAUGUUUGAUGCACUUGAUGCAUAUUUUUAUGAUGCCUGUAUGUGUGAGGGUGGAGUGAAAUGGGAUGAGAGGUCAGACAUUUUUUUUUUUACUCCUUGUCAUUGCCUUUAUUAAAAAGAAAAUACAGUUUUUUUUACGUGACAUUCUCAUGGGAAUUUUACAACUUGUUUUAUUAUCAUUAUUGAUAUUUUUUUUUAAAGAAUAUUGACCAAGAGGAGGACUGAAAAGGCUAAUUUACAAUCUCAUUACAAAGUAAAAUAGUGUUGGAUAACAGAAGGAAAAAUGGUGGAAUAAGAGAGAUUGCAGAAGAGCUGAAAUGUACCCAAUGUAGAAUGAGAAAGUAGAGAUUGAGGGGGGGGGGGUAUUAAAAAAACCAAAACAGUAUAAAUCCCAAAGUAAAUAUUCUAUACAAUUCAUGCAUUGGUAUAUUUCAUACAAAGGUAGAGAAAGGAAAAUAGGAGAAUUUUGCAAGUCAAUUUGAUAUAGAUCGAUGCAUGGAGGUUCCCCCCCCCCCAAUUUUAAGUUUCUCAACAAAAGGGUAUUAUAGUUGAUUUGUGGUAUCUUUCUAUUUUGUACUUAAAUAAUACUUCUUUGGCCAGACAUAUCCUUCAACUGUCUCCUACAUCUUUGAUGGUAGUCCAUUAAAUGUCUGUUUCUGACAGAAUUGAGUAACUUCAAUCCAAACCCUUGACGAAAGAACUUAAAAGAAGGCAUGCUUCAAUGUUGAAAUCAUGAUUCUUUGCCCAUUUUUUGUAUGAAUUAAAUACACUUUCAUAAAUCCCUUUAAAUGUUUGAAGAUACUAAAACUUGGGCAAAGAUUCAUUCGAAGUUGGGGGACGGGAGAGUGAAAUUUGAUGUGUAUACAGCUUGGUGGCCAGUGUUGCAACUACAGUACCUGUAAAGAGACAAAAUAAAAUCAAGUAACAAUUAGGAAAUUAAAAAAUGCUCAAGUCUGUUAGCUUUGAGUAAAUUCAGCCAAUAAAAUAAUUAAUGGAAAAUAGGUAAGAUUAUCAUGGUAAUAUUCCCCAGGAACAAUAAUGAUUAAGAUUUUAAAAAGUAGUUUUGGCCAUUGGCAGUGGAAGGGAUUUUUUUUUUUUGGGGGGGGUCCACCUGAAUUUUUGAGAUGGAGACAGGUAGCAAAUUUGACUGCAAAAAAAAUAGUAAUCAACCCAAAAUGUAUGAUGAACCACCAAAAUUUUUUGACAUGCC
rnacentral:lncRNA from 1 species